rnacentral:rRNA from 1 species
UGGGGAAUAUUGGACAAUGGGCGAAAGCCUGAUCCAGCCAUGCCGCGUGUGUGAAGAAGGUCUUCGGAUUGUAAAAGCACUUUUAAAGUUGGGGAGGAAGGGCAGUAAGCUAAUACCUUGCUGUUUUGACGUUACCGACAGAAUAAGCACCGGCUAACUUCGUGCCAGCAGCCGCGGUAAUACGAAGGGUGCAAGCGUUAAUCGGAAUUACUGGGCGUAAAGCGCNCGUAGUGGUUCGUUAAGUUGGAUGUGAAAGCCCCGGGCUCAACCUGGGAACUGCAUCCAAAACUGGCGAGCUAGAGUACGGUAGAGGGUGGUGGAAUUUCCUGUGUAGCGGUGAAAUGCGUAGAUAUAGGAAGGAACACCAGUGGCGAAGGCGACCACCUGGACUGAUACUGACACUGGGUNCGAAAAGCGUGGGGAGCAAAACAGGAUUAGAUACCCUGGUAGUCCACGCCGUAAAACGAUGUCAAACUAGCCGUUGGGUUCCUUGAGAGCUUAGUGGCGCAGCUAAACGCAUUAAANUUGACCGCCCUGGGGGAGUACGGCCGCAAGGUUAAAACUUAAANGAAUUGACGGGGGUCAUAGCUGUUU